rnacentral:rRNA from 1 species
AGUGAACGCUGGCGGUAGGCCUAACACAUGCAAGUCGAACGGCAGCACAGUAAGAGCUUGCUCUUACGGGUGGCGAGUGGCGGGCGGGUGAGGAAUACAUCGGAAUCUACUUUUUCGUGGGGGAUAACGUAGGGAAACUUACGCUAAUACCGCAUACGACCUACGGGUGAAAGCAGGGGAUCUUCGGACCUUGCGCGAUUGAAUGAGCCGAUGUCGGAUUAGCUAGUUGGCGGGGUAAAGGCCCACCAAGGCGACGAUCCGUAGCUGGUCUGAGAGGAUGAUCAGCCACACUGGAACUGAGACACGGUCCAGACUCCUACGGGAGGCAGCAGUGGGGAAUAUUGGACAAUGGGCGCAAGCCUGAUCCAGCCAUACCGCGUGGGUGAAGAAGGCCUUCGGGUUGUAAAGCCCUUUUGUUGGGAAAGAAAAGCAGCAGGUUAAUACCCCGCUGUUCUGACGGUACCCAAAGAAUAAGCACCGGCUAACUUCGG